UACGUAGGGUGCAAGCGUUAAUCGGAAUUACUGGGCGUAAAGCGUGCGCAGGCGGUUAUGUAAGACAGGUGUGAAAUCCCCGGGCUUAACCUGGGAACUGCAUUUGUGACUGCAUAGCUAGAGUACGGUAGAGGGGGAUGGAAUUCCGCGUGUAGCAGUGAAAUGCGUAGAUAUGCGGAGGAACACCGGUGGCGAAGGCGGCGUCCUGGACCAAUACUGACACUGAAACGCGAAAGCCAGGGGAGCAAACGGG
rnacentral:rRNA from 1 species